rnacentral:rRNA from 1 species
AUGAUACGCGAGGAACCGUUACCUGGGCUUAAAUGGGAGUGACAGCUGUCGAAAGAUGGUUUUCUUCGGACACUCUUCAAGGGUGCUGCAUGGUUGUCGUCAGCUCGUGCCGUGAGGUGUCCGGGUUAAGUCCCAUAACGAGCGCAACCCUUACCGUUAGUUACCAUCAGGUUAAGCUGGGGACUCUAGCGGGACUGCCACCGUAAGGUGAGAGGAAGGUGGGGAUGACGUCAAGUCCUCAUGGCCCUUAUGGGUAGGGCUUCACACGUCAUACAAUGGUCGGUACAGAGGGUUGCCAAGCCGCGAGGUGGAGCCAAUCCCACAAAGCCGAUCGUAGUCCGGAUUGUUCUCUGCAACUCGAGAGCAUGAAGUCGGAAUCGCUAGUAAUCGCAGGUCAGCAUACUGCGGUGAAUACGUUCCCGGGUCUU